rnacentral:rRNA from 1 species
UACGUAGGGUGCGAGCGUUGUCCGGAAUUACUGGGCGUAAAGAGCUCGUAGGUGGUUUGUCACGACGUCUGUGAAAUUCCGGGGCUUAACCUCGGGCGUGCAGGCGAUACGGGCAAUACUUGAGUGCUGUAGGGGAGACUGGAAUUCCUGGUGUAGCGGUGAAAUGCGCAGAUAUCAGGAGGAACACCAAUGGCGAAGGCAGGUCUCUGGGCAGUUACUGACGCUGAGGAGCGAAAGCAUGGGUAGCGAACAGGAUUAGA